UUAACUAUUAGAUAGUACUCAGACGACACUAACAUUCAGAGUUUUAGGUCCUCUGACACGCGCGAGCCAGCCGGAGCCGGUGCCCAGAGGGCGGCGUGCCAAAGCAACAAAUAUAUAAUACGCAAAGGGUGGUAUAGAAGACCCCAGCCCAGAGGGCCAGGGGACUAUAACUUUAAUGAUCCUUCCGCAGGUUCACCUACGGAAA
rnacentral:misc_RNA from 1 species